UACGUAGGGGGCAAGCGUUGUCCGGAAUCAUUGGGCGUAAAGCGCGUGUAGGCGGCUCGAUAAGUCUGCUGUGAAAGUUCAGGGCUCAACCCUGAAAUGCCGGUGGAAACUGUCGAGCUAGAGUCCGGAAGAGGCGAGUGGAAUUCCUGGUGUAGCGGUGAAAUGCGCAGAUAUCAGGAGGAACACCAAUGGCGGAGGCAGCUCGCUGGGACGGUACUGACGCUGAGACGCGAAAGCGUGGGGAGCAAACAGG
rnacentral:rRNA from 1 species